GUUCAUUGUUCUUGUUCGGCUGUUUGACACAUCUGUUCGUUUGGAUGAUAUUGACAUUUCGUUCGUGGUGUCGCCAUCGUCGUUAUAAAUAAACAGAUUAUGUUGUUAAUUCACAAGCCUUAAGAUCAUCGAUGGAAAAAUCCAUUUAUUCAAUCGUUUCGAUUGGAGAUUUGUUAAACACAUCAAAUAUAAGCAUAAGUAAACUUGAAGACGGAUGGUUGUAUAUUUGGUGUUGCCAACGUUUUCCAAAGUCAUUCUCAGCGAGAAUGUUUCGCAUCGGCAUGUCUGUGUGUGGCAGUAAAAAUACAAACGUUUGCCGAUCCAAUACCAAUACUUGGCAUUAAAUGUCAAAACGUCCUCUAGUUUCGGCAAAAGUACCCAUAAGAACAUUCACACAUUAUUGGGAGCCGCCUAGGGGACAUUCGUAGCAAUUCUAGUAAGCUAGUUUUAUUUACGUAUUCGCUAAUCGCUUACUAGUAUUACUAGUGAGUACACUAGUGCUGCUAGUAGCUGCUAGUUUUUCUAGUGUUUUGAAAUUACCUAGACGUAUCGUAUGAUACAUAAAAAAAACAACAGUAAUGCUUAAGUCGCUUGUAAACGAACCAAGUGAAUA